GUGGGGAAUUUUGCGCAAUGGGGGAAACCCUGACGCAGCAACGCCGCGUGAGUGAUGAAGGCCUUCGGGUCGUAAAGCUCUGUCAGAGGGAAAGAAGUGCAGUGGUGCCAAUACCAUCAUUGCUUGACGGUACCCUCAAAGGAAGCACCGGCUAACUCCGUGCCAGCAGCCGCGGUAAUACGGAGGGUGCGAGCGUUGUUCGGAAUUAUUGGGCGUAAAGCGCGUGUAGGCGGUCUUUUAAGUCUGAUGUGAAAGCCCCGGGCUCAACCUGGGAAGUGCAUUGGAAACUGGGAGACUUGAAUACGGGAGAGGGUAGUGGAAUUCCUAGUGUAGGAGUGAAAUCCGUAGAUAUUAGGAGGAACACCGGUGGCGAAGGCGGCUACCUGGACCGAUAUUGACGCUGAGACGCGAAAGCGUGGGGAGCAAACAGGAUUAGAUACCAGGGUAGUCC
rnacentral:rRNA from 1 species